rnacentral:snRNA from 1 species
UCAGAAUCUUGGCCUUUUGGCUAAGAUCAAGCAUUUUUGGCACCAAGAGGAGGGUGUCAGGGCCAGCUCUGGCCUUCUAGGUGUUGGCUUGGUAUUGCAGUACCUCUAGGCCCAGUGCCAGUUCC